UACGAAGGGGGCUAGCGUUGUUCGGAAUUACUGGGCGUAAAGCGCGCGCAGGCGGUCUUCCAAGUCAGUGGUGAAAGCCCGGAGCUCAACUCCGGAACUGCCAUUGAAACUGUUGGACUUGAGUACGAGAGAGGUGAGUGGGAUUCCCAGUGUAGAGGUGAAAUUCGUAGAUAUUGGGAAGAACACCGGUGGCGAAGGCGGCUCACUGGCUCGUAACUGACGCUCAGGCGCGACAGCGUGGGGAUCAAACAGG
rnacentral:rRNA from 1 species